AUGCACGCUGGCGGCGUGCCUAAUACAUGCCAGUCGAGCGAACGGACGAGAAGCUUGCUUCUCUGAUGUUAGCGGCGGACGGGUGAGUAACACGUGGAUAACCUACCUAUAAGACUGGGAUAACUUCGGGAAACCGUAGCUAAUACCGGAUAAUAUUUUGAACCGCAUGGUUCAAAAGUGAAAGACGGUCUUGCUGUCACUUAUAGAUGGAUCCGCGCUGCAUUAGCUAGUUGGUAAGGUAACGGCUUACCAAGGCAACGAUGCAUAGCCGACCUGAGAGGGUGAUCGGCCACACUGGAACUGAGACACGGUCCAGACUCCUACGGGAGGCAGCAGUAGGGAAUCUUCCGCAAAGGGCGAAAGCCUGACGGAGCAACGCCGCGUGAGUGAUGAAGGUCUUCGGAUCGUAAAACUCUGUUAUUAGGGAAGAACAUAUGUGUAAGUAACUGUGCACAUCUUGACGGUACCUAAUCAGAAAGCCACGGCUAACUACGUG
rnacentral:rRNA from 1 species